UCCUAGUCCCUGAGACCCUAACUUGUGAGAUUUUUUAGCAAUAAUCACAGGUCAGGCUCUUGGGACCUAGG
rnacentral:pre_miRNA from 1 species